rnacentral:lncRNA from 1 species
UUGGGAAUGAUCUUCUUGUGUAGAAUCUUGCAGGAGUUCUCUGUAUUUCCUGAAUUUGACUGUUGGCCUCUUUAGCAAGGUUGGGGAAAUUUUCAUGGAUGGUAUCCUGAAAUAUGUUUUCCAAGUUGUUUGCUUUCUCCUCCUCCCUAUCAGGGAUGCUAUUGAUUUGUGGAUUUUGCCUCUUUAUAUAAUCUCAUACUUUUUUGGAGGUUUUGUUCAUUCCUUUUUAGUUUUUUUUUUCCUUAUUUUUGAGUGUCUUGUUUCAGAAAGCCAGUCUUCAAGUUCUGAGAUUCUUCCUUCAGCUUGGUUUAUUCUGCUGUUAAUACUUGUGAUUGAAUUGUGAAUGUCUUGUAUUGUGUUAUUUAGCUCUUUCAGACUCAUUAGGUUCUUUUCUUAUACUGGCUGGUUUAUCCUUCAGCUUCUGUAUCACUUUAAUGUGAUUCUUAUUUUCCUUGGAUUGGGUUUUGCCAUCCUCCUGAAUCUUGAUGAUCUUCAUUCCUAUCCAUAUUCUGAAUUCUAUUUCUGUCAUUCCAGCAAGUUCGAGCUUGCUUGGUUGAGAGCUCUUGUUGGAGAACUGGUGCUGUUAUUUGGAGGAUGUAGGACGCUCUGGCCAUUUUUUCUAAUCAUUUCUUAAUCUUCAUCUCAAAAAGAAUCUCACUACCAUUAAAAAAGUCAAAAGGCAUUCUUCAGACUAAAUUGGUGUCUCUUUUGCUUUGUUGCUUUUUCUUCCUUUCUUAAAAUCUUCUGGAAUGACUGAAACCUAGGAAGCA